UACGGGGGGAGCAAGCGUUGUUCGGAUUUACUGGGCGUAAAGGGCGCGUAGGCGGUCAGCACAAGUCAGUUGUGAAAUCUCCGGGCUUAACUCGGAAAGGUCAACUGAUACUGUGCGGCUAGAGUGCAGAAGGGGCAACUGGAAUUCUCGGUGUAGCGGUGAAAUGCGUAGAUAUCGAGAGGAACACCUGCGGCGAAGGCGGGUUGCUGGGCCGACACUGACGCUGAGGCGCGAAAGCCAGGGGAGCGAACGGG
rnacentral:rRNA from 1 species